CUUGCUCCCUGAUGUUAGCGGCGGACGGGUGAGUAACACGUGGGUAACCUGCCUGUAAGACUGGGAUAACUCCGGGAAACCGGGGCUAAUACCGGAUGGUUGUUUGAACCGCAUGGUUCAAACAUAAAAGGUGGCUUCGGCUACCACUUACAGAUGGACCCGCGGCGCAUUAGCUAGUUGGUGAGGUAACGGCUCACCAAGGCAACGAUGCGUAGCCGACCUGAGAGGGUGAUCGGCCACACUGGGACUGAGACACGGCCCAGACUCCUACGGGAGGCAGCAGUAGGGAAUCUUCCGCAAUGGACGAAAGUCUGACGGAGCAACGCCGCGUGAGUGAUGAAGGUUUUCGGAUCGUAAAGCUCUGUUGUUAGGGAAGAACAAGUACCGUUCGAAUAGGGCGGUACCUUGACGGUACCUAACCAGAAAGCCACGGCUAACUACGUGCCAGCAGCCGCGGUAAUACGUAGGUGGCAAGCGUUGUCCGGAAUUAUUGGGCGUAAAGGGCUCGCAGGCGGUUUCUUAAGUCUGAUGUGAAAGCCCCCGGCUCAACCGGGGAGGGUCAUUGGAAACUGGGGAACUUGAGUGCAGAAGAGGAGAGUGGAAUUCCACGUGUAGCGGUGAAAUGCGUAGAGAUGUGGAGGAACACCAGUGGCGAAGGCGACUCUCUGGUCUGUAACUGACGCUGAGGAGCGAAAGCGUGGGGAGCGAACAGGAUUAGAUACCCUGGUAGUCCACGCCGUAAACGAUGAGUGCUAAGUGUUAG
rnacentral:rRNA from 1 species